AUGAUGAGGAACAGUAAAAUUUAUGGUUAGAAAACAUAUGAUUAACCGUGAUUAUCAAUUUACUAGGGCGGACUGAUUAA
rnacentral:snoRNA from 1 species